AUUGAACGCUAGCGGGAUGCCUUACACAUGCAAGUCGAACGGAGUGGCGAACGGGUGCGUAAUGUAUCGGAACGUGCCCAGUACCGGGGGAUAACUACGCGCACGCGUAGCUAAUACCGCAUACUCUUGGAGCGGCCGAUAUCGGAUUAGGUAGUUGGUGGGGUAACGGCUCACCACGGCCACGCUCCGUAGCUGGUUGGAGAGGACGACCAGCCACACUGGGACUGAGAGACGGCCCAGACUCCUACGGGAGGCAGCAGUGGGGAAUUUUGGGCAAUGGGGGAAACCCUGAUCCAGCCAUCCCGCGUGAGCGAUGAAGGCCUUCGGGUUGUAAAGCACUUUUGGCAGGAAAGCGGUACCUGCAGAAUAAGCACCGGCUAACUACGUGCCAGCAGCCGCGGUAAUUC
rnacentral:rRNA from 1 species